GUCAGGGACUCUAACAAGGUAUCGUUCUAAGUUGUAAAUGAUGUGGUGGUCAUCUUGUUGGAUAUUUGCUGGACAAUAAUGGCUCCGAGGCGCGAGAAACGAAUAAAAGAAAGGAGGGUAUGCUAGGUGAAGCAAGAGCUGCUGCUUUAUUAAGGCGCGCUGUUUAGCCUCGCGCUAGAGGAAGAUAAUAAGACGGCUAUUGGUGUUGUAGGCGCGCUGCCGCCGUUGCUUCACGCGCUGCAUUAGGAUAGUGAGCGGACUCGGCAUGACGCUUUGUACCAUCUGUCGUUGGUACAGAGUAACCGAGUUAAACUUGUCAAGCUUGGCGCAGUUUCAACUAUGUUAACAAUGUUGGAAACCGGUCUAGCGGGAAGAGUGUUGUUGGUGUUAUGCAACUUAGCCACAUCGAACGAGGGUAAAUCAGUGUUGCUAGACUCGAAUGCGGUUGAGUGAUUGUCUCUGAAGACUGAGUUGAUAUCCGGUGACCAAAAUGGCAAUAUUCGUGUAUGGGACUUGACUGCAAAUUCGUGCAGCUGUGAGCUGGUGCCAGAGGUUGAUACAGCAGUUAGAUCACAGACAGUUAUGUGGGACGGAAGUUUGGUGGUUGCUGCAAACAACAAAGGAACAUCUUACGUGUGGAGGUUAUUGCGUGGAACACAGGUUUUUGUCGUAAGCUUUGCUAGAGGAAGUUGAUCGAUAUGAUUUAUGAUCUGCGUGCAAGUUGAGUACAUCAGAUUACUCCCGGACACAACUCAAGAGACUUUACGGUCAUUGGUGCUGAUGUGUCAUUUCCCCUAACCAUUUGCACUGAUAUAUCCGACAUCUAUAGAUCAAAAACAAUCAAGUAUGCAGUUCAUGCAUAAGAUUUGUACAAGCAUAUGAUCUUAUAUAUCAUUUUGAUCUUCACCAUGUGAUCAUUUGAUUUUUUUCCCCAAUUAGUGAAUUAACUAAUUACUUAUUUGAUUUUGACGGGUCAAUUUCGGGACAUGGAUACGGGUCAGAAACAGGUUUAACCGGGUUAGUAGUUGGGUUAUUUGUGUCAUAUUUAUUUUACGUUUUACUAGAUGCAAGGUAUUGGGUAAUAUCAUGGAUUGUGUACUAAUUGUAUAAGAUAGUGGUUAUAUUAUCUUUUGUUUGCUCA